rnacentral:rRNA from 1 species
UCAGACGAUGCGUCAUGCAUAUCAAUAAGCGGAGGAAAAGAAACUAACAAGGAUUCCCCUAGUAACGGCGAGUGAAGCGGGAAAGAGCUCAAAUUUGAAAUCUUAAAGGGUUUCCCUUUACGAAUUGUAGUUUAAAGAAGUGAUUUUCUGUUGAGGUUUUGGUAAAAGUUCUUUGGAAUAGGACAUCAUAGAGGGUGAGAAUCCCGUAUUUGACCUUUACUUUCAACUUUGUGAUACACUUUCAAAGAGUCGGAUUGUUUGGGAAUGCAGUCCAAAAUGGGUGGUAAAUUUCAUCUAAAGCUAAAUAUUGGCGAGAGACCGAUAGCGAACAAGUACCGUGAGGGAAAGAUGAAAAGAACUUUGAAAAGAGAGUUAAACAGUACGUGAAAUUGUCAAAAGGGAAGCGUUUGACACCAGUGUUGUUUUUCUGAAAAUCAAUUAAAGAACUGUUUAUGCUAAGCUGUUUAGACUUUAUCAGCUAUCUGUUUAGUUUUGAGCUUUUCUUUAAUGCACUUUUCAGUUAACAAGUCAACAUCAAUUUCUUUUGCUGUAAAAAAGCUUGAGAGGAAGGUGGCUUGAGAUUCGUCUUAAGUGUUUAUAGCCUCUUGCCUAUGCAGUCGGAGAGAUUGAGGUCUGCAGCGUAGAUCCUUCGGGGCUAAAUGCAUUUGUGCUAAGUUAUAGCAUUUCAUAGACAACUUGUUGACUAUGAUUUGUCUUGUAGCUUACUCGCUUAUGUUAUUUUACCUACGCUUAGGAUGUUGAAUCUGUGCGAGACUAC